rnacentral:rRNA from 1 species
GACGAACGCUGGCGGCGUGCUUAACACAUGCAAGUCGAACGGUAAGGCCCUUCGGGGUACCCGAGUGGCGAACGGGUGAGUCACGCGUGAGUAACCUGCCCUUCACUCUGGGAUAACAGUUGGAAACCGCUGCUAAUACCGGAUAUUCAGCUCCUGUCGCAUGGUGGGGGUUGGAAAGUUUUGGUGGUGGAGGAUGGGCUCGCGUCCUAUCAGCUUGUUGGUGGGGUGAUGGCCUACCAAGGCCUCGACGGGUAGCCGGCCUGAGAGGGCGACCGGCCACAUUGGGACUGAGAUACGGCCCAAACUCCUACGGGAGGCAGCAGUGGGGAAUAUUGCACAAUGGGCGGAAGCCUGAUGCAGCAACGCCGCGUGCGGGAUGACGGCCUUCGGGUUGUAAACCGCUUUCAGCAGGGACGAAGCGCAAGUGACGGUACCUGCAGAAGAAGCACCGGCUAACUACGUG